UACGAAGGGGGCUAGCGUUGCUCGGAAUCGACUGGCGUAAAGCGCACGUAGGCGGAUCUUUAAGUCGGGGGUGAAAUCCUGGAGCUCAACUCCAGAACUGCCUUCGAUACUGGAGAUCUUGAGUCCGGGAGAGGUGAGUGGAACUCCGAGUGUAGAGGUGAAAUUCGUAGAUAUUCGGAAGAACACCAGUGGCGAAGGCGGCUCACUGGCCCGGUACUGACGCUGAGGUGCGAAAGCGUGGGGAGCAAACAGG
rnacentral:rRNA from 1 species